AAGUGCUGAAUAACAGCUGUUGGGUAAACGUGUUGGGUUAUUCUAAUGCAGUGUUGGGUUACUCUAACUCAAUAUUGGUACAGUGGGGAACAUCUAUGCUACUCUGCUGAUUGGGUUAUUAGUUAGGUUACACAAUAACCCAACUCACUGGUUUAUUGUACCCAACACUGUGUUGCCCUGCUACGUUUGAAAUCAGAGUUCCCUGCAGAUAACGUUCUUUCUGCCUGCCCGCCCUGGAAGAAGUGAACUGACCGGAGUCUUCAACAAAAAUGAAGGUUUGUAAUGUGUUUUUACUGUUUUGUCUCCAGCUAACUUUAGUUAACUGCCUAAAGCUGAUAGAUGUGUGAUAGCCAUUCGUUCAUCCAACGCAUGUCUUAUCUUCCAUACGAUCGAUCUAUGAAGUAUGAACCCAUAGAAUAAGAAGACCGUUGCCCAAGGUAGUCUAUACACAAACCUAAACCGUUGGUUACUCUCAAUUACCUAAAGCAAUGGAAAUGGAGUCAACUAAUCUAAUCAUAAGAAACACUGGAAUGAAUCUCGUCUCGAAACCAGAUGGGAUGAAUUUUAAUUUCACGAAACUCGCCUGUAACUUCAAUCUGUGUCCAACCGUCUUUUGGUUUCCACGGUAACUCUCGACACAAAUAACUGGCCGCAGUGCCGCCGCUCUGAAGUUGGUCUCUCGGCGGGCAAAUAUUAUCAACUCUCUGCCGCGAGUUCGCGUGGAAUAAGUAGCACAAAUCAGCACAAGUUAGAGAAAUUAACAACAACGGAAAAUACGGACGUGCCGUGUAUCCCUAUUCAGUUGGACUAUUGCUGCUGGCAUCUGCAGCUCUGCUCAAGCUACGAAAAGAAGGAAGGAGACGUCCAGGACUGAACAGAGCUGUCACCUGUCACAGUGCAGUGCACCGACUGACUGCCGCUAUUUGCUUGGAUGUUGCUGAAAGAAAGGAGGCAUUCUUCAUUGUGCAGCACUAGCCUACUGUGGAGGCCGAGAGAGUUUUGAUGAGGCUUCUGUACCCAGGAGGCGGAGGCAGCAAUUCCAGCUUCAAUGCGCACAGUCCUUUAAAAGGGACACCCAGCUAAGAUUUUAUUGCAAAUUCUACACAGAAUGCACUGCUCUACACAUUUGGUUUUGGAAACACUGUGUAUUAUUGUAAGUGUACACCAGGGGUGGGGAACCUUUUUCAUUUGAAGGGCCACUUCAAAUUACUCUGAGGGCCG